rnacentral:rRNA from 1 species
UACGUAGGGGGCAAGCGUUAUCCGGAUUUACUGGGUGUAAAGGGAGCGUAGGCGGCGAUGCAAGUCAGAAGUGAAAGCCCGGGGCUCAACUCCGGGACUGCUUUUGAAACUGUGUUGCUAGAUUGCAGGAGAGGUAAGUGGAAUUCCUAGUGUAGCGGUGAAAUGCGUAGAUAUUAGGAGGAACACCAGUGGCGAAGGAGGCUUACUGGACUGUAAAUGACGCUGAGGCUCGAAAGCGUGGGGAGCAAACAGG